rnacentral:tRNA from 1 species
CCGGAUCUGGCGUAAUUGGUAGCCGCGCCCAGUUCGUACCUGGGUAGCAAUGGAGCCUCCGCUCCUGCCGUAAGGGUUCGAGUCCCUUGAUCCGGA